rnacentral:rRNA from 1 species
UACGGAGGGGGCUAGCGUUGUUCGGAAUUACUGGGCGUAAAGCGCACGUAGGCGGCUUUGCAAAUUAGAGGUGAAAGCCCGGGGCUCAACUCCGGAAUUGCCUUUAAAACUGCAUCGCUAGAAUUGUGGAGAGGUAAGUGGAAUUCCGAGUGUAGAGGUGAAAUUCGUAGAUAUUCGGAAGAACACCAGUGGCGAAGGCGACUUACUGGACACAUAUUGACGCUGAGGUGCGAAAGCGUGGGGAGCAAACAGG